AGCGGCGAACGGGUGAGUAAUACGUAAAUAACCUACCUCUAGGUCUGGGAUAACCCCGGGAAACUGGGGCUAAUACCGGAUAAGACCACUUAAGGAAAAGAUGCACUUAGGAACGGGUUUACGUCCCAUCAGGUAGUUGGUGAGGUAAUGGCUCACCAAGCUUAAGACGGGUAGCUGACCUUAGCGGGUAGUCAGCCACACGGGAACUGAGACACGGUCCCGACUCCUACGGGAGGCAGCAGUGGGGAAUAUUGGGCAAUGGGCGAAAGCCUGACCCAGCGACGCCGCGUGGGGGAUGAAGGUCUUCGGAUUGUAAACCCCUGUCAGGAGGGACGAUUGACGGUACCUUCAGAGGAAGCCCCGGCUAACUCCGUGCCAGCAGCCGCGGUAAUACGGAGGGGGCAAGCGUUGCUCGGACUUACUGGGCGUAAAGGGUCCGUAGGUGGCUCUAUAAGUUAGAUGUGAAAGCUC
rnacentral:rRNA from 1 species